AGAGGAGGAGAAGAAAAGAGGAAGAGCUGAGAAAGAAGUGGAGUCACUGAAGAGGAAACUGAAGACUGAGAACAGCAGCAGCUCAGACAGUCAGGAGACGUCAAGAGACAUCGAUGUGGUGGUUAAUGACAACUACAAGUUUAUCAUUCUGAGAAACACGUCUGAUCAGGACAAACCACUGGGAGGAUGUCAGUUAAAAGUCCAGAUCAACAAUGGUGAACCCAUCACAUACACAUUUCAUCCAUCAGUGAAACUCAAGGCUGGAGACAAAGUUACUAUAUACCAUCCAGACUAUAAGCCUCUUUAUGCUGUCUCUGGUGACCUGGUGUGGAAGGACCUGAAGUCCUGGAAGUCUGGAGACAGAGUCCAGGUCUCUCUGCAGUGAAAUAGUUCCCAGUUGAACUCCUUCAAUAAAGUUCAGUAAUCCAGCAAACAGCAACAUUAUAGAUGAGAAACAGCACGACUCAGAUCUUCCUGCAGAAACCACACACUGCAGAGAAAGUCUCUGGAAACACUUGGCUCCAUUUUAUUGGAUUAAUUGUGUUGUAACAUUGUAGUUAAUGUAACAAGUCUCCUUGUUUCCUCUAAUCAUCAGAUUUGGAUGUAAAUGUUUUGAGAAACCCACAUGUGUUCAUUGUUUUUAAUAAAGAAGGUACUUUUGUAUUUAUUGAGUGAUAUUUGUGCAUUUUAUUCAACUUUGUAACAGAAAUAUGUGAGAUGCUGCUGAUAAGUGAUUAAAACUUCCACAUCAAUGAUUGAUCCA